GUUUAUAGCUCAGUGGUAGAGCAUUCGACUGCAGAUCGAGAGGUUUCCGGUUGAAGCCCGGGUGUCCA